rnacentral:lncRNA from 1 species
UGCUGCUCCGCCGUGUCCCACUCUUCUCGCUCCGCUUUCGCCCCGCAUCUUCCAUCUUCCUUCCAGACCUUGCGGCGACCGAGCCCGCAGUGUCAGUCCCCAGCGGGGACCUGAGUAUGUCGGUGAAGACGAGAGCGGAAGGCGAGGACGACGGCUUCGGGGAAGCGGGUGAUCCGAGGAGACUGCUGGAGCGAUCUUUGCAUUUCCGGGGGUGACUUCCCGGGAAGGGGAAUCGGGAUGUUGGCUUGGAAGGGACCGAAGGGCCCACCUCGACCCGCCCCGAGUGGGUUUGGAGUUGUAGGUGCUGUCUCGGAUGCAGGGCGAGCACCCGCGAGCGGGUCACCAUUCCCGUGAGAGCUGCAGGUCCCCAGCCCUGUUUUACAGAUGGGGAAACUGAGGCAGCUGCUGAAACACUCGCCCAUAUGGGUUUUGCUCCACCCAUUUCCUUCAGCCACUUUACAGACCAGGAGUUGAGGGACUGCUCGAGCUUAAGAGUGUUUAGGGGUGGUUGAGGGUGAGCCCCAUGUUCUGUGCUCUACUCUGUCCCUAUCCGUGCCUUCUCCCAGCGCCACUCUCACGCUCCUGCUUGCUAGACGGGACCCAGCUUCAUCCUCCUCCUGUUUACAUUAAUUGCUCCUGAUCUUCCACACUCCUGAUUUUCCGGAUUCUAACUCCAUCAAAAUGUAACUUGAUGUGUUCAGGCCCGGGGGAGACCUAGGCACUUGAGGGGGACAGGUCCGAGUUUGGCCUGCUGGGCUUAGCAGAAGGGGCUGGCCCGGGGCGGGGAGCGCGAUGCUCUGCUGAGUUAGCAUCUCCAGCCACCUGGCUUUGCUGGUGUGGCCUCACAGCCUUGCCAAAUGUGAGCAGCUUACAGAGCAACCAGUUGCACGUGCUUAAGCUGCCGAGGUGACACAGGGCGUGGUGG